AUGACUCUCCUAGCCUGGGGAGUUAAAAGCUUGGCAAGAAAACAUGCUUAUCAUUCCUGUCACCUGCAUCAGCAGCAGAUUCCCUCCUUGAACUCUGAGGCAUCGUCCUUGAUUCGUCACACUUCAGCUUUUCCUGCUGGAAACAGUUUUGCUUCUCUGGUUGAUGGGGACUUUAAUAACAGUGGAGGGUACAGUUCUGGGGAAAUACAGAGCAGUACAAAUACAGAGGGCAAAAGUGGGAAGCUUGUCAGGAGGGAAACCCUGUAAUAAAAUAUUUUACCUUUGUUGACACUGAAGAAACCUGCCCUUUAGCUUAACUGUAACUUGCGUCUUUAAAUACUUCAUGGUGUGAAUCCUCAGCAGAGUAUUAUAUGGCCUUUAACAGUGAUGUAGCUAAAAUCCUGUAUUAAGGAAAGGUGACUAAGACGCACUGUGAGGUGGAACAUAG
rnacentral:lncRNA from 1 species